rnacentral:rRNA from 1 species
ACCGUACUCCUACGGGAGGCAGCAGUGGGGAAUUUUGGACAAUGGGCGCAAGCCUGAUCCAGCCAUGCCGCGUGUGUGAUGAAGGCCUUAGGGUUGUAAAGCACUUUCACCGGAGAAGAUAAUGACGGUAUCCGGAGAAGAAGCCCCGGCUAACUUCGUGCCAGCAGCCGCGGUAAUACGAAGGGGGCUAGCGUUGUUCGGAAUUACUGGGCGUAAAGCGCACGUAGGCGGAUCGAUCAGUCAGGGGUGAAAUCCCGCAGCUCAACUGCGGAACUGCCUUUGAUACUGUCGGUCUAGAGUAUGGAAGAGGUGAGUGGAAUUCCGAGUGUAGAGGUGAAAUUCGUAGAUAUUCGGAGGAACACCAGUGGCGAAGGCGGCUCACUGGUCCAUUACUGACGCUGAGGUGCGAAAGCGUGGGGAGCAAACAGGAUUAGAUACCCCUGUAGUCCUUGAC